GACUUACGCCUAAAAAUGUGUGAUCGUGAAGGGCUACGUAAAGGACAGGGCGCCGUUUGCUUCUGAGAAUCUACGUCUAACAGUCGCUUCCCAAUCACUUAUGUCCAGUAGCCUUCAGAAAUAUCCAUUAGGAGGGCUUUACAGACUAUGCUAUCUGUCCUGGCAGUUAAAUAUUCGGGCCUUUGGGUUUGCGCUAAAGCCGUGCUAAACGUGUUAAAAAUAGACGUUCUGUCCCUAACUUGUUAAAGUACGGAAUGAGUUUCGAGAGAUAGCCUGUAUGCAACCAACUAACUGUAUGUUUGCUUUAGACCAAAAGGCUGUGAAUUCAAAGAGCCGUUCUGUCAUGCGUUUUGUUUGGGGGGUCCUGGGGGGCGUUGAUUAGAUAUCCAGGUUUAACCCCGGGCGGUCGGCCGAUACCUUGACAUGUCAUAUGCUGGAUAGUUCAAACUUUGAAUUUCAAACGAUUCUCUACAGAUGGGACCCCAUGUUGAACCCACACAAACAAACCCUUUGUUUUUUGAAACGCACACACACACACUCCUGCUGCUCCGUCACACGCACACUCAUGCACGCACCCUGAUUUUCAAUGUCUUUUUCUUCGCGACAGAGUUGGCUGAAGAUGUGAAAUACCGUUUCACAUAGUUACGGACCGGGUUGAUGGCUGGAAAGGACAUUUUCCCUUCGUUAAAGGAUAGAUGGUCCGGUUAGCCACGACCAUUAUCCAUUUCAAAUUCAUCAACUCAAAGACGCUUGUCCGCUCCAUCAAAACUCCGUAAGUUUUCCCUCCAUGUGUAGAUCAACCGUUCCUGCCUGUAAAUCCUGGGUAUGCCCACAUCAUUAAUGAAUAAGAUGUGUAGAAAACUGUUUAGCCAUAGUUAAAGGCCUUUCAUAAAGAGUCUGUCAUGAUUGCCUGUGCCACACUUAUUGCUUGUUACCUAAUAAUACUGUUGUACAUUUAAUAUCCACUAGCAGAUUUCGUCGCAUUUGCACAAAUUCGGUCAUGUUACUGUGGUCUUUUUAAAUGUCAGUAAAUAUGUGUGUAAAGUGUAUAUGUUUGUUUCACUGUAGAUUUGUUUAAGCCCUCCUAGAAACACCUAAUUAAAGGCCUUUUCAUAAAGAGGCUGUCAUGAUUGCCUGUGCCACAUGUUUAACACGUAUUGCUUAUUACAGAAUACUACUGUUGUACAUUUAAUAUCCCCUAGCAGAUUUCGUUGCAUUUGCACAAAUUCUGUCAUGUUACUGUGGUAUUUUUAAAAGUCAAUAAAUAUGUGUGUAAAGUGUACAUGUUUGUUUCACUGUAGAUUUGUUUAAGCCCUCCUAGAAACACCUCAUUUCAUCCCACAGCCUUAAUUAAUAAGCUGUGCAGAAGCUGUUUAGCCAUAAGUAAAGGCCUUUCAUAAAGUGGCUGUCAUGAUAAACCUGAAAUUACCUUUAGGAUCUUUUCUUUGGGGUUCUAAUCUCCCCAGGUGUACAUGCACUGAAAAUCCUUAGGCUGGAGCCAUCUUGAAGCUCUGUGCCUGUACAUAUAAAGAGAACUAAAUAGGAAACUAGGCUGAGAAACAUUAUUUAGAUGGCUGUUUAAUUGUUGUUUAAAGCCUGAAAUGGACACAAUGCCAAGGGACCUUGUUUCUAACACACACACACACAUACAGACACACAUUCCUGCUCCAUAGAUAACAAACAUAAGGGCAAUAAAACUGGGGGGGUCAUACCCGGUCCAAAAGUUCAAACACAACAACCACAGUUCAACCAGGCCCCUAGACAUCCAUCAACUGGACUACUUCAAAGGAUGACAUAGAGAUCUGAAAUAACACAAAAUAACACGUGACCACGGGAACAGGGGGGACGGGGAGGGGGCACAUAUUCGGACACGCAAAGGUCAAAAUGACGUAAGGUCAUCAAUCAAUCAUUUUGACGCGUGCCGUCUACUUUAUU